GUUCCUUGUAAUUAUGAUGAAAUGUCUUUGUACCAUCUUAUUCUGUUCUGUUCUGUUCUCUUCCAUUAUAAUAUAUUACAUUUUAUUAUAUUGUAUAUCUAUCAGCAUGAGAUUAAGUCUGAUUUGACAAAUUGAUAGAGUAAACUGGCUUCUCUGUGUAUACUCAGAUCUCUAUUUCCAGGAGUUGCAUCAGAUUUUGCCCACACACACUUGCUCAGUCCACAGUUCAUCAAUACACUAUAGUACUUUCACUGUAUCAAUCGUGGAGCUGUGACAUUGAUUUGGAGAUUCCUGGAUCAAUCGUUUCUAUUCCAUCUAUGUAAGCUGUUUACAACCAGUGUGUCCAGGAAAGGCAAAGAGUACUAACACCCUACUUUAUAUUGGCCAAAGGUCACAUUGAGGUUUUAGAUUUCAUAUCAGCUAAAGUGAAGAACAUAUAUGCCACUGCAGAAUAAUAGGUUGCACUUUGGGUUUAGAACAGGAGAUGUUCUCGAUUUUGUUUGUCAUUUUUAAACCUCAAUGGUUCCAAUAAGGUGUUAGUUGGCCUCUUUGAUAUAUGUCUUGCUCCCUGCUCUUUGUCUUAUCUUCAUUCUUUUCUUUGAAAGAACAAACAAAACAAGCUUUACCACUCUGAUGGAUUUCCCUGAAAUGCUCAUUUCCUACUUCCUUUGAACGACCGAUAGAGUGUUUGUCAGUUUCUUUUCUGUCAAAAAGAUUUUUUUCUUCCACAGUUUUCACACAUUUUAGAAAUUAAUUUUAAAUUAUUACUAGCAUUAUGUUCUUAUCAGCAUGCCGUGGUUUGCAGAAUUCAAAAAAACCUUUUAAUUAAAGCAACAGGAGCCAUGUUACUAUGUCGUAGAUGACAGUGUUUGCACUUGAUAACAAAUGACAACCCUUGAGAGCUCUUCAGUGUAAAUGAUUCAUUUAUGCACAUAGGAUGAAUUUCAAUUGACAUUUUGAUUAGUUACAUUGUGACUAACAACAAGUUAUGAUCUCUAACAAUAGUAAAAAUUAAAAUUAGCUAAAUCUUGGAUAUGACAAAAAUAAAGAUGUUAAUGCUGAAAAUGUUGUUACAUUUCACUUCAGAACAGUGAACUUCACAUGUAAAGUAGGCCUAAAUGGUUUGUAAUGAAACUGUUUGUUUAACCCGUACAGUCAGUAGUUUAACCCAUAUAGAGUAAUCCAUAAAACAAAACAAAAGUAGUACAAUACAACAAAAACAACCGGAUGUGGGGACAAUAACAAAAGAUAGCUCAGCAACCACACUGUUGCUCAACUCUGAAGAAAACAAGAGGUGAAAUCUUCAGUUCACCACAUGUACUGAAUGGAGAGCCUCAUCGUGAAAUAUUUAAAUCGAUAUGAUAGAACGUAGUUUACAACCUUAAUUAUAAGACUGUGUCUACUACAAGAGUACAAAGAAAUUUAUGACAUCACAGUGAAAAACGUCACAGGUUUGCAUUUUGUCAACCAACAGUCUCCCGUUGUUUCAGGUAGAAGUGUCCACCCAAAGUAAACAUGCCUCAGUCAGAGACACAAGUUCACAAGUACGCUCUCUUCCUGAAACCCCUAUUUGUCCUCAAACGGGAAUUCACAUUUUUGCGGUAUCUGGCCACCGAUGUAGUUUACAGCUUGUAGCCCUUUGCCACGGGUCGUCUGUCACCUCCACAGGAGUAACUACAGCAGCUAAAGCAAACACUGGCCUGUUUGUGGAGCUUUACUGCCACUACAGAAUCAACAUCUGAGAAAGGAAGAGCGGUUUAUGAUGGUGUGGGUGUAGUAUUGAAGAAAGAAAACUGGAUUUGAAUACAGGAUGCCCUUUAUUUCCAGCAAUAUAGCUGGAAAAUCUCCUGUGGCCACAUAAAUGAAAGUUAACGCUAUCAAGCUUUAAAACAGGGAAGCUGGUGACCCUGUUCACUUCCUAAUGAACAUUUCCUAUUUUUAAGUUUCUUUAUGUCACUCAAGAGCGCGAACAGGCACAUAGUUAAUAUUAUACACUACCCUCUUGCCAUAAGUUGAAACAGUUAUUUUUGACCUGGAAAGUCGGUUGGGGAUCCCCCUCAUGGGUCAGUGUCACAUUUGUCAGUGAAGUGACCUCCUAUAUUUGUGUAGCUCUAGUUGUGUAAAACCCAGAGUGGGGUAGAGGUGUAAUAACUCGAGAAAAGUCUUUCUGCCAAAUAGCCAGAGGAAUUUUUCAUUUUAUGUGUCAUACUAAGUAUACUAUAUUCUGUCCAGAGUGUAUAGCCAGUGGUUAUCUGUCAUCAGUGAAACUGUUAGAAAAUAUGCAGGGAGGAAGUUAACAGUCAAAUGACUGCAUUUGUUCUGCAAAUUUAAAAUGCAAAGCAUGUGUUCAGCCCACAGUGUUUCAAAACAUUUAAUAAUAAAAUAUCCCAGUGGACUCAUACCACUGUCUUAACCUGUAUAACAGAGUUGUUGUAACUAAUGCUCUGUAAGUACUUAAUGAAAAUCCUCUUAAAACAUGAUGUGAUCACAUGGGUGUAACAACACAAGUACUGCUCACUGAAUACAAUGCGAGACAAACACCAUCAAGGCACUCUUAAACUUUAAAGGUCUUUGCUGCCUGACUGGUUCAAAAGAUAUGGGGUGCAUUUGGAAAAUACUUGAGCUACACCUUGAACAACACAUGCAGUGAAAAGGUUUUGCUUUGAGGAGAUCCUAGUGUUUCUUGAAACGUGUCAUUCAUUAAAAGCAGCUGCUUCAAAUCAGAAACAACUUAAGCAAAUGAUUACACACACAGAAAUACAGAGAAAAUCCCUCUAUAUUCUUCUUUGUUAUGUGCCUUAAAGACACAGCAGACAGCAUAGCAUAGUAGAAAAGCUGCGUUUAGACUUUAAAGUCCCUGAAUCUCUUUUCAAGCAACUAAAAGGUUCCUUCAGCCCACUGUUGUAUGCGUUUCUGUGGUCUAAAGACCUGCGAACACUUGGCAAAUUAACCAGCUGACGUAGGCUGUAGGCCUGUACGCCGUACAAAGUAAUGCACAGGCAUCACAGGCUGUGUCCGCCUGAGCGUCGGAGGAACGGGAUGUUUAACGAGCUUUAUUACCUGCUGUUAUCAGCUGUUCCGCUUGUUUUGGAGAGGAGGAGCCCAACUUCAGCUCUGUGUAAAAACUUCCUGACUGAUGAAAGCUUAAAACAACAACUUUGAACCGAGUAUUUAGCAUAACACAAUCAGCUGUUCUCUGUAAACACACCGCUGCACACUGGCUGCUAUUUCCAGUAGCUUACAUUUAUUGCCAACGUACGAUCUCAGGCGGACAUCGGCGAGACCUGUGGGGCUAUCUGACUGUUCAUCUUUAUAUUUAUUGGUUUGCAAACAACGGUGGAAAAGAGAGGAGCAGUCAUAGAAAAACACCCGACAUGCUGAUUCAAAGCCAGUAGCCUCUACUCACCCAUUCUGAAAUUCACUACAAGGCAAGCCCCAUCCCCCCAAAGUACCGGUACUUGCGGAAAGGACUACCCCGUGAGCAGGGACCUUUUGUGGCGUAAAAUAAAGACCCUAGAACCAAAUUUAGUCCCUGGUCCCUUCGGUGGAAACACAAAGAGUUCCUCCAAAGGUUCCUAGUUCCAGGGUAUAGUUCCUUUGGUCAAAACGUAGCUUAAAGAAAACAGGGGGAAACAGCUCACCUGGCUUAUUCCAUCUGUAACAAGAACCUCUAAAGAUUGCUAAUUAACUUGUUAUUGUCUUGUUUGUUUAAGCCAAGAAACAGUCCAGCACUUUACACCCCGUAAAAUGGCAAAUUGUUGUUGGGAUAUUUGACUACUGUACUGCUUAAAAUCCAGAGCCAUUCUUACUGUUUCCCCUUUGUUUCCAGUCUUUAUGCUAAGCUAAGCUAACCUGCUGCUGGCUGUCGCUUCCAAUUCAACAGAUAGGUAUGUGAGGUCUAAAUUCUCAUCCAUCAGAAAACGAAUAAGUGUACUUUCUGUAUAUAUAUAUAAUUCCUGUAUAAUUCAAUCUUUAUUGGAUAGAUGUAGCAAUGGUUGAGCUGAGUUAACAGGAGUGUGUAUUUGCUAUAUUUUAAAUACUACUAGUUUAAUACUUUAGGAGUACUAUAUUUAAUAUUUUGUAACAUGGGACAAGCUGACUAACAUUAUUUGCAGUGCCGGCAUUAUAUCAUUGGUUAUGUAUCCUGGAUUCAGAUAAUCUUCCUUGAAGGUUAUGAGAGGAACUGUGUGCACACCACCCUGUAGUACUUAGACACACACACACACACACCCCAACACACACACGCAAAUACAGAUACACUCACAAAUGUAGAAGUGGGGAUCCUCCCUGGAGCUCAAAGUUGGAACCUGUGAUUAAGGUGGGUGGAUCCUCGAAAAGUUCAAAAUGGACCAAUCCCAAAAGCUUCAAAAGAACACCUCAGGGCGUCGCGUUUAUUUCUUCCAGAUGGCGACAUAGCUGUGAUGUAAGACACAACUAGGCCUUCAGAUUAAAACUGCACCCUGUGGUAUUCAAACUGCUGUGCUGUCUGAGUACACUGUGGUAUGUCUUUUGUCUUUCAACUUUUAUGUUUGUCUGGAUGCUCUUUUCUCCUCCAAGUCUCCAUUAGAAAAGAAAUCUUAAUGGGAUAAGCCUGGUUUCAUUUAAUAUUGAAUUAAUACAUGUCGCUUUUAAACUAUUCCAGUCAUUUCCUUCCUGUCAUGAAAUAACACAUAUUUAUUUGAUCAUUUCUAUAUUGCUUAUGUUGUAACAACUGAACAGAAUAUGGUAUAGGGUGAGCCACCAGACAGACCUCUUCAGUGGCAUAGAAACCUUGGGAUCAAUUAGGAAACCUAAAAGAAUUUUAUUAUUUUGAAUCGUUGGAUAUUUUAUCUAAAUUGUCUCUGGAUAGAGUCUUGACAGUCUGUAAAUUUUGGCUUGAAACCGUCAAAUUAAAGACGUUUACAUAUUGAUAUAAUCUAUUGACUACUGGCAGCUUCAGUUGGUGUCAGUAACAUCAACUGCAUUUACGACACUGUACUCAACAACAUUGUUCUCUCUUAAUUAUACCCUUGAGUAAAACAUUAUUAUUAGAUUGCAGCAUGCCUCAGCUCCAGCACUCAUCUUGUAAUUAAGAACAAAAUGUUGUGUGUGUUUAAUUAGAGGCUUCUGUCAACCUGCCAUGGCGUGUUUUUCUUUUCUAUUUUUCUAGGAAAAGCCUGGUUUCUGCAGCGAAGACAUGUCAUGCAGGGUAAACAUUGUGCUCACCGGGGUGGGCACUGGUGUAAACGGUGGUGUUAUAGUAAAGUAAAGCUGGGCUGGACAAUGGGGGUGAGUGGGGUCACACCCUGGGACCGCAGCCAGCUGCAGGGGGCGUCUGGUCGAUGUGUUUGCCUAUACCUCUCUACCCACGAUCCACUAGGAUCUGAUUGGUUCUACUGUGAUGCAACAUUGAUCUGAUGCAACACACAGAAAAGGAGGAGGACGUCCGGCCCAAAAUGAUGAAACCCACGUUAAUCUUCUGUCAUAACCUGCAUCUUCCUUCAUGAGUGUCACUUCCUGUCAAACUCAGAUAGUCAAGAGUAUUAUUGCAAGUUAAUAUUAAGUUUUACAAGAGUAUUGUAAAACUUAAUAUUAACAUUUACCUGACUUCUCCCACACAGACCUCUGCCUGGGUGAAGAUUGGCAUGUACUGCCAAUGCAGAGGUUAUGUGUCCUACUGCCCUCUGGUGUUUGUAACAGCAAAUUACACCCUUUUAGACUUCAGCUGUUUUUCAGUGUAUUGAAAAAUGUUUUCACUGAGAGCGGGUAUGUCUCUCUGCUGUAAUAUGGUUUCUUUGUUCAUAAAGCAACCUCUUUUAUCAUGCUGAAAUAAUAGCUUAGUUUAAAAUAUUGACUGUGUUUCUAUUCAUAUAUGAACAAGUCCUACUACAAAAAGUAGUAAAUUGCAUCAUUUUUUUUAACAUUGAAAUUGGUGAAAUAGAAUUUUUUUUUAUGACCAA